GGUGAUUCUUGGGUGGCAGACCCUGGAAUCGAGCUCCCUCCUCCCUGGUUCUGGGUGCAUCACCUGAGAACCGCA
rfam:Myotis lucifugus cont2.19890, whole genome shotgun sequence.